UUCAUUUUUGAAAAAUCUUCUAUUUGGAGAUAGAUUUGUACGCAUCUAUUUACAUUUUAUCUGCGAAAGAAAAUACACUUGCUCAGUUGCUGAAGUGGCUCUCUUUCUCGUCCUGAAGAGCACACAUAACUUCUAAAACGUAAAAAAAAUUAUGUGAAAGAAAAGGGAAACUAGAUAUUUAAGAGAUAGAAAAUAGAAGAAAAGGAAAAGAAAAAGGAAACUAAAUAUUUGAGAGAUAGAAAAUAGAAGAAAAGGAAAAGGUUAAUCAAGAUUUAGUGCUGGCCACACACUUAAGAAAGAAUAAGAACAAGACUGUCUUUACAGAAUAGGGGAGACUAUUUUACUGCACUUAGAUUUGUGUUUUUGUUAUAAUUAACUGAUAUUGUAAUUUGUCCUUGGAUAAAAUAUCUGCAAUGUGGAGGACAACUGAACUGUGUUCUUAUAUGUUGAAG